rnacentral:snoRNA from 1 species
UGCUGUGAUGAAUCUGCUCAGACUAGAGUCUCUGACUCCCAAGCUGAUGUCACUUAAAGCCCUGAGCG